UGCAGUCGAACGGUAACAGGAACUAGCUUGCUAGUUUGCUGACGAGUGGCGCACGGGUGAGUAAUAUAUAGUUAAUGUACCUCAAAGACUGGGAUAGCCACUGGAAACGGUGAUUAAUACUAGAUAUACCUUUAAAACAUAAGUUUUAAAGGGAAACGUUUUUUCGCUUUGAGAUCAGACUAUAUCCCAUCAGUUAGUUGGUAGUGUAAGAGACUACCAAGGCAAUGACGGGUAGCGGGUUUGAGAGGAUGAUCCGCCACACUGGUACUGAGACACGGACCAGACUCCUACGGGAGGCAGCAGUGAGGAAUAUUGCACAAUGGAGGAAACUCUGAUGCAGCAACGCCGCGUGGAGGAUGACGCAUUUCGGUGUGUAAACUCCUUUUAUAUGUCAAGAAAAUGACGGUAGCAUAUGAAUAAGCACCGGCUAACUCCGUGCCAG
rnacentral:rRNA from 1 species